GCGCUAAUAAGCGAAUCAUGGCGCAGCACGGAGCGGCAGAGUACUCAGGCCAUUUUUGCAAAAAUAUUUACGUAAAUUUUGGCGCACCCAUUCAUGCCAUCGCUAGGCGCUAUGCAUGGCUAUGCCUUCGGCGUCUACGAAACUAACCAAAAACAGCUGAUGCUUUCAGAAACCAUCUUGCAAUGGCGGAAGCAGACGUCGAGGAGAUUGAAGCGCUAAAAUCAGAAUUCGAAUGGAUUUUGCAAGAAGAAGUAAACAUUGUGUUGCAGCAGCUGCAAGACAUCAUGCUGGAAUGCUCCAAGCGUUUCCCGCACUCAUUCUCUGACCAAGAAAACCUAGUCAAGACUGACAAGUUGAUCCUGAACAGCACAAGCUCCACAGCUGCCCCUGAGCAAAUUAAAGUCCUGGCAACAAUGUCAGGGGAUAGCAUCAGCCACGCAGACAUUGCACUGCGCAUUCCCAAGCAUCCCGGCACCACCUUGAGGACAAUAGUGCAAAAUGACUGCCAGUGGAAGCUGCAGCAGGUGCAAGACGCGGGCAACAACCUAAUGACUGCUUUGCAACUGCUCACGCCGCCGCCACCGAAAACCAAGUUUGAGUUCAAGUCUGCAGAAGAAGUAACCCAGCUCAUGACCACCGUAAUGGGUUGCCUGCAGAGGGGUCGGGCGAGCCUCAUCAUUCCAAAGAAACGCACCAUCGACGAGAUUCUUGGAAGCCGGAACAUGAAAUCCUUGCAACCGCCACUGCCUCAAGAUCUGGGCGCCAGCUUCUAUGUGCAGUCCCACAAGCUCAUCUUUGCUGUGUAUUACGUCCAUAAGGACUCGCACGGCCAGCCGAAGUUUGAUGUCUUUCAGGCAGAGACGUCUGUGCCCUGGCUGAGUGAAGUCCUCGUACUGUUCACCAUAGCCCUGCAGCUCUGCCAGCAGCUUAAGGACAAGGUCGCCGUGUUCUACCAGUACAGGGAGUUCCACAUCCCGUAAGAGGAAACAAAGGUUCACAAGCUGUGUUGUGAAAGGACAGAGGAGAGGUGUAUUCAACGGGAUACUUAAGGAAGAACAACAACUGAGUCGGCACACUACCAAAGUUCUACACCUGUGAAGCUUCAGCUCCUACAGGAUGGUCCAGUUGGCAUCACUACUAUCGGCUGUGGCAGCUAAAAUUACUCAACUCGCCCAAAGGAAACACACUUACGUUUUUUUUUUUUUUUUUCUAACUUUCCCAGCGCUCAAAAAAGGUCACGGGUAUUGUGCAUAGGGCACCUGUUUAGUGAAAGGAAAAUUUUGCUAUGUUUAUGUACUAUUCUGGCGAGAAGGUAAUUGCACAGGUCACGACCAGGUCAGCUCUGGUCAGCUCUGGUCAGCUCUGACCAGGUCAGCUCUGGCAAGCUCUGGUCAUGAAAAACUCUUGCUACACUAUGGGCACCUACUUUCGUGUGUGUGGCCCUUUAUGUUUUAUUUAUAUAAUGAGUUUUGUUCUAGGCUGAUUAUGUUUACUCGCAUAGGUCUCAUCAGUAUUUGUGAAGUUAACACUUUUUCUCUGAGCUGUUGGAAUGAAUAAGUUUGCUAUUGCCACGAAUGAACUUACGAUAUACUUUUGCCUAAUUAAUGGGCCGACCGAAGGUAUAGUGAUAAGCAAGCAAAAACAAAGUCAUUAAAUGCAGAUGGUAGAUAGGCACUGUUUUGUCUAUCAGGCUUGCUAUCUGUGGAAGCCACUGUGGAAACUUUUUCUUUUUUUCAUUUUCUGAAGCUUUCUGUAUAAUGCAGCAGAACUAGAACAAAU
rnacentral:misc_RNA from 1 species